AUACGUAGGUGGCAAGCGUUAAUCGGAUUUACUGGGCGUAAAGCGCGCGUAGGUGGCUAAUUAAGUCAAAUGUGAAAUCCCCGAGCUUAACUUGGGAAUUGCAUUCGAUACUGGUUAGCUAGAGUAUGGGAGAGGAUGGUAGAAUUCCAGGUGUAGCGGUGAAAUGCGUAGAGAUCUGGAGGAAUACCGAUGGCGAAGGCAGCCAUCUGGCCUAAUACUGACACUGAGGUGCGAAAGCAUGGGGAGCAAACAGGAUUAGAUACCCUGGUAGUCCAUGCCGUAAACGAUGUCUACUAGCCGUAGGGGCCCUUGAGGCUUUAGUGGCGCAGCUAACGCGAUAAGUAGACCGCCUGGGGAGUACGGUCGCAAGACUAAAACUCAAAUGAAUUGACGGGG
rnacentral:rRNA from 1 species